GCCUUAGCAGUUCUGCUAGGCUAAAAACAGCUAAUGUAAACAGCGACCGGUACACGCUCUAAUGUCAACCAAAGUGGACGAUGGUGCAAAAUCUGAUGGUACAAACUAAAACUUCUGUUUUCCCUGUCUACACAUCGACACUGAAAACGGAGUUUCUGAAAAUCUUCACCCUGGACAGGGUUUUACAAAAGCUCAGUUUUCAGUGACGUAAAAUUCCAUUUGCAUGUGGACAAAAGGCCAAAACACAUAGAAAAAGCUUUUGAAAAAUAAUCAUGUACAUGUGGACAAGACUGAGAAGCUGAGUGACAACCUUCCAAAAGAAAACGGAUGUUUAUUAGGAUGAAAAGUCGUUUGCCUUCAGAGCCCUUUUCUAGGUGAUUCUCAGGAAGCCGGCCUGCCAUUACUGACAGAGUCACUACAUCUGGCUGGACCAGGCCAUACCACUCCCCGCAGCUGUCGCACAGCAGGCUGAAGGCUGACUGCCCGCCUGCCAUGAUGAACCCCGGGGCGCAGACGUAGAGCAGCUCCUCGCCCAGCUCCAAGCCCGUGUGGC